CAGAAAAACCCUAACACACUCAGAAACUUCCUCUCGACUCUCACACUCUCAUGGCCGCCACCGUCUCCUGCUCCAGUGUCGCCACCGUUGUCCUUGUCGGCGCUCCUACUCCACCAUUCGCGUGAAGAGGAGAAGCGGAGCCAGAGGCGGAGUGGCCGAACCCAGGCGGUGGCUGAACCAUAGGAAGUGGAGCCGGCUCCAGAGUCGAUCAUGACGUCGCUCACAUGCCAUCUUCACAAUUACAUUAGAACAGAUGCACAAACUCCAUCCAGCAGUGAUGCUUCGGAUGAGGAUAUGGGUUAAGAAUACCUUUCAGCAAAGUUCCAUUUGGUAGAUCUAGCUGGAUCAGAGAGAGCUAAAAGAACUGGUUCCGAUGGUCUUCGUUUCAAAGGUGUACACAUCAACAAAGGCCUUCUUGCACUAGGUUCAUGUAUCAGCUAUCCUAUGAGUGGGAAUGCAAUCCAAGUAGUUGCCUGGGCUUAAAUCAUAACUGGAAGCAUUGAUCCUUUUCUGCAGAUUUCUAAAAGCUAAUUUUCAACCUGUUUUUCCUCAUCAAGAUUAUGAUUGGCUCGGCAUCAAGCUACUGUUUCCAGGGAGGGCCACUUCUAUAUGCUUUGCUGAAUUAUGACAAGUCCAGCGUGAUUCCUAGCUGGACAUUGUAGCUUUAUACCUUUCUAAUGGACCUUUCAGAAGGAUAAUACAAAUGUCAUAGUUUCUUAGAACAAUGAAGUGUCAAGUUUACCCUGCUGCCAUCUUAUUAAGAUGUCGUGCGCCAAAGUGCUUUGGGUUGGAACUUGCGGUUUCAUCUCCUCUAUAAGCCUCGGCAUCUCUGGAUAGAGGGAACAAUCUGCUUUGUGUUUCCCUUCUGUGGAUGUGAAGCUUCUUGAAUCAAGAGGUACAUCCCUAUCUGUCUAAGUUUGAAGCUACUGAAGGGUUUGACACAUGUGCUUGUGGGUAAAAUCGUUGUUGGGACUUAACUUUAUGGGUUCUCACUAUGAUGAAUUAGAUGCUGAGUUUGAUGACCUUGUAUUUAGAUGAAUAUUUAUGUAUUUGACAUUAAUGUUUUUAAUUAUGCUUUUGACAUUAAA